rnacentral:rRNA from 1 species
UAGGGAAUCUUCGGCAAUGGACGGAAGUCUGACCGAGCAACGCCGCGUGAGUGAAGAAGUUUUUCGGAUCGUAAAGCUCUGUUGUAAGAGAAGAACGAGUGUGAGAGUGGAAAGUUCACACUGUGACGGUAUCUUACCAGAAAGGGACGGCUAACUACGUGCCAGCAGCCGCGGUAAUACGUAGGUCCCGAGCGUUGUCCGGAUUUAUUGGGCGUAAAGCGAGCGCAGGCGGUUAGAUAAGUCUGAAAUUAAAGGCUGUGGCUUAACCAUAGUAGGCUUUGGAAACUGUUUAACUUGAGUGCAAGAGGGGAGAGUGGAAUUCCAUGUGUAGCGGUGAAAUGCGUAGAUAUAUGGAGGAACACCGGUGGCGAAAGCGGCUCUCUGGCUUGUAACUGACGCCGAGGCUCGAAAGCGUGGGGAGCAAACAGGAUUAGAUACCCUGGUAGUCCACGCUGUAAACGAUGAGUGCUAGGUGUUAGACCCUUUCCGGGGUUUAGUGCCGUAGCUAACGCAUUAAGCACUCCGCCUGGGGAGUACGACCGCAAGGUUG